CCCCUUUUUUUUACAAAACAUGUCUUAAUGUUAAAUUAUAUUAAGUCUGGCCUGCUCAAUGAUUUUUUAAUUAAAUAGCCGCAGUAUUUUGACUGUGCGAAGGUAGCAUAAUCAUUUGUCUUUUAAUUGAAGGCUUGUAUGAAUGGUUUAAUGAGGGAAUAACUUUCUUUAUAUUAAAUGUUUAAUUUAAUUUUUUAGUUAAAAAGCUAAAAUUUUUAAAUGGGACGAGAAGACCCUAUAGAAUUUUAUUUUUAUAUCUUUAAUUAAAUGUUUUGGUAAUAUUAUUUAUUUACAAUUAUAAAAAUUUUGUUGGGGUGACAUUGAGAUUUUUUUAACUCUCAUAAUUUAAAAUUUAUUAAUAUAUAUAUGAUUGAUCCUAUUUUAAGGAUAAAUAGAUUAAAUUACCUUAGGGAUAACAGCGUAAUUUUUCUGGAGAGUUCUUAUCGAUGGAAAAGUUUGCGACCUCGAUGUUGGAUUAAAAUUAGAUUUAAGUGCAGAAGCUUAAUUUCUAGGUCUGUUCGACCUUUAAAAUUUUACAUGAUCUAGUUUCAACC
rnacentral:rRNA from 1 species